CCUACGGGUGGCAGCAGUGGGGAAUAUUGGACAAUGGGCGAAAGCCUGAUCCAGCCAUGCCGCGUGUGUGAAGAAGGCCUUCGGGUUGUAAAGCACUUUCAGUGGGGAAGAAAGCCUUGGGGCUAAUACCCUCGAGGAAGGACAUCACCCACAGAAGAAGCACCGGCUAACUCCGUGCCAGCAGCCGCGGUAAUACGGAGGGUGCGAGCGUUAAUCGGAAUUACUGGGCGUAAAGCGCGCGUAGGCGGUCUGAUAAGCCGGUUGUGAAAGCCCCGGGCUCAACCUGGGAACGGCAUCCGGAAAUGUCAGACUAGAGUGCAGGAGAGGAAGGUAGAAUUCCCGGUGUAGCGGUGAAAUGCGUAGAGAUCGGGAGGAAUACCAGUGGCGAAGGCGGCCUUAUGGACUGACACUGACGCUGAGGUGCGAAAGCGUGGGUAGCAAACAGGAUUAGAUACCCUAGUAGUC
rnacentral:rRNA from 1 species